ACUCCUCGGGAGGCAGCAGUGGGGAAUAUUGCACAAUGGGCGCAAGCCUGAUGCAGCGACGCCGCGUGGGGGAUGAAGGCCUUCGGGUUGUAAACUCCUUUCGCUAGGGACGAAGCUUUUUUGUGACGGUACCUAGAUAAGAAGCACCGACUAACUACGUGCCAGCAGCCGCGGUAAUACGUAGGGUGCGAGCGUUGUCCGGAAUUACUGGGCGUAAAGGGCUCGUAGGUGGUUUGUCGCGUCGUCUGUGAAAUUCUGGGGCUUAACUCCGGGCGUGCAGGCGAUACGGGCAUAACUUGAGUGCUGUAGGGGUAACUGGAAUUCCUGGUGUAGCGGUGAAAUGCGCAGAUAUCAGGAGGAACACCGAUGGCGAAGGCAGGUUACUGGGCAGUUACUGACGCUGAGGAGCGAAAGCAUGGGUAGCGAACAGGAUUAGAUACCCCUGUAGUCCCAUG
rnacentral:rRNA from 1 species